CCGCGCGUUGGGGUGGACGGGAAAGCAGCUCCGCAAGGGUUACCAACUCUCCCGGACCUGACGGGCUUGCAGCAAAUGGCGUCCGGUCUACGCGGUCCGGGAGAGUUGGCAACCCUACCGCUCUGCCCUCCCAGUAGUAAAGCGCCGCAGAAUCCGGGCCCUGGCGGCUCCGCGCCCCGCUGCUUCUUCAGGCUCCAGCUGAGUUCGGGCUGUAGUGUGCCAAGGGGCAAAGGGCCCGGUGUUGUUUCACUGCGCUCUGCCCCAGGCAACGGGACACCUCUGCAGGACUAUUGUGUUUAGCACACGAGUGCCCCUUAAAACUCAAGUGAUGGUCCUGCAAGGCAGGGCCCUUCCUGCGCCCUGAGUUUAGAAAACACCCCCACCCUUAGCCAUUACCUUGCAGGUGCAACCUUCCCCUUCCAUUUCAAUAGGACCUCAGGGACAUUUAUUUGAAGAAAUGUGUCAAAAGUGAGGUUUCUCCUCCUGCUAACCAUUACAGAUUUUAAGGGUAAGUGUGUGAAAAUCCCAGCCUUAAUGUUUGAAAACAAGAAACAAAGAUGAUGAAACACCAAGCCACAUUUUUAUCAGCACACUAUGUAAUAUAGCAAUUUCAAAUCCACUCUUUGAACAUCAUCAAGCAGAGGAAUCAGAGUGACUAGUCUGACUCAUCACCUGAGCACCCUCUAUUAUGAAAACCAUCACUUACAGCUACACAGGAGAGCAAUAUCUAUGAUGAUCUCUCACCUCUGUAAUGGUGGCACCUUCUGCAGCAGUUCUGGAGUCCAGCAUAUGCAGCAUGUGAAUGAGGGCUCAAACAUUGUUAUGCUGUAGGCCCUAUAGCAUAGGACUAAGGUGCAUGACAACUAGUGACAUUAAAAAGUGCUUUUUCAAGACAGCUCCCCAAAUGU